rnacentral:lncRNA from 1 species
UCCGAACUUGGGGUGGUGGAAAUACUUGGGAGGAAGCUUGGGAAGCGGAGGGCACGGCUUCUUCGUAAAUGGAGGAAUCUUCGGAAGAGGAGGAAGUGGCUUGUGAGGAAUAGGAGGGAAGGGUUUCGGUUUGUAAAUAGGAACCGGCGGUGGAAGCGGCUUCUUAUAAACCGGUACCGGAUGAGGCUUAUAAACCGGUGGUUUGUAGACAGGAACCGGCGGUGGAAGCGGCUUCUUGUAGACCGGCACCGGAUGAGGCUUAUAAACCGGUGGUUUGUAGACAGGAACCGGCGGAGGGAGUGGUUUCUUGUAGACCGGCACCGGGUGAGGCUUAUAAACCGGUGGUGGAAGAGGUUUCUUGUAGAUGGGAGGGUGAGGGUAAUGAUGGUGGAAGCUUUUCAAUGGCGGAAGUGGUGGAAGCUUAGGCAAUGGAGGGAAGUUGUGGUGGUGGUGAGGCCAAAAGGAGGCUGAGACACAUGUUAUUGGUGAGAAUUUGAGGUUCUCUUUUAACCCAAACUGGUGUUUCUGGUCGGUGGUGGAUUUGAAAACUAGCUUAGAGGAUUCUAAGCCAUUAAUGGAAGGGCAAGGUUGAGGUGAUGAUACAGUGCGAAGCUGUGCGUAGCAAUGUUCAUUCAAUUUGCCAUCUUUGAACAAGUGUUGUGGAAGAGAGACUUUGAAAUUGCCUUGUUUGUCAAGCUUUCCAGACCCUCUGGUUUUGAAAUGGUCACCAUUUUCUGGCUUGCAAUCUAUGGUUACACGAAGACCUAGAAAGAGAAAACGCCAUUAUCAUAACAUCAUAAAUAUUGCUUCAAAUUAAAGAAAGGGAGAAUACACCAUUAACAUAACAUCAUAAAGUUUAAUUCUCUAAUGUUAACAAAAUGUUAGUGUGAUGGUUCACUGGUAGAUUUAUACACUAAUAAUGAAUCAAAUAAAAACCUCUUUUUACUAUUUUUUAGAGCUUUUGCCUUACUCGUGACUAAAAUUUUUAAAUUUUUGGGGAGAAGUGUAUCUUUAUUUAAGCAGCUUUUUGUUUUAUGUAUAAGGUGUAAUGCAGAUUUAUCCCUAUCAUGAGUGCUUGAGUAUCAACUCUUUAAUUGACCAUCGUCAAUACAAAAGUAUGUACAUAUAAUUGAGUUUGAACUUGGAUAUGUAUGUAUAUCAAUCUUAGUGUAAUAAUAUGUGUGUUGAGGAGAGGUCGCGCUUUGGGCCAAUCUUGGACCCUCAAUGAAGGUAUUGUUCUCUGGAUUUCUAUACUCGGUUUUAACUUUGAGUUUUUGUCUCAUAACUUUGAAGGGAGUCCAAAAGGGUUCGCGAAAUUUGAUGGAGCGCCUACUCCACCAAAGAAAUGUUUAACAUUUGGCCUUAAUGGGUUUUGAACUCAUGCCCUUAUAUGGCAUUAGUGGGUAAGAACUAGAUCUGUUCAUGGGUCGGGUUAUCCGCUUAAGCCUAAAGGCCCAUCAGAAAUUUGAAAGGGUUUGAGUAAAAAAUUAGGCCUGAAAAAUAGAUUUGGACAAAAAAAUAGGCCAAUUUAUAAUAUGGGUCGGGCUCGAGGCUUGAACAUUCAAGGCCUGAGCCUGACCCGACCCAUUUUUAAGUUUAUAAUAUUUUAUAUUAUGUUAUUUUUAUAUAUUAUAUAAUUUAGAACACAUUAAAAAAAAUAAACCUAUACUAAAUAUAUAAUACUACUCUAAUGUAAAUAUUAAAAUAAAGUUCAGAUGACUAUAUAAAAAUUUUCAAUAAAUUAAAAAAAGUAUAAAAUUAUUAAAUAUUAAAAUAAUAUAAUAUAAAUAUUUUUAAAAAAUUUAAAAAAUAAUAUGGGUGGACCUAAAAUAGGCUUGGGUUAGUCUUUUGCAAAUAUGGGCUUGUUUGAGUAAAAUUUUAAGCCUAUAUUCCGGGUCGGACCAGGCUUGGACAAGCAUAAAGUAUGUUAAUAUCAUGCCUAAGCCCGACUCGAACCUAUGAACACCUCUAGUAAGAACAUUACCGUGAACUUUCUUAGGCUCUCCUUAAAAUACAAGUGACAAAACUCAGAUAAUCAAACAUCAACACCCACAAACAAUACUUCUGAGGAUCCGGAACCGACCCAAACAACUAACUCCCCCCAGCAAUAUAGGCCACUACAACAUGCAAGGAAUGGCCUCGAAAUUAAUUGAGCAGCUUAGAUGAAAACAAUACCUGAAAAUGCUUGGGUGGUGUCCAAGUUAUUCUCUUUGCAAUCUGUGCAUUCACCAACCCCGACCACUUCAACUGUUUUACCAUCACCGUUAGCAUUGCAAAAUGUGGUCACAAAUAAUAAUGACCAUACUGUGAACGCCACAAGUGCUCUUCCUCGAAACUCGAGGUUCUCCAUUGUUAUUGCUUCUGAGGUAGUGAUAUGAUAUCAGAGAUUGGAUACCAAAGCCUUAUUAUAUAAUGGUGUUCAAAAGGGAUCAUGGGAUCACCAUUUUCAAUGGCUUACCGACACCACACUUAAAUGCCUCACAUAAGGUUAGGGAACGGGACCCUCACCACCUCUUUGAGAUGACUUUGGUGUAGACACGUAGUUUAAACUUUGGUUUGAUAUGAUCAUCAUAAAAAAAAUUAAUAAUUUAAAUUUGAAAUGAUUUUGUUGAGUAUUUUUAUUGUGUAUUUUCUUAAUGGGUGAAACAGAUAUUUAUUUGAUAUGGUUACUGUUCAUGGAAUUGACGUUCUAGGUAAGCUCCAUGCAUAUCGACACGUAUUCUACUCUAGACUUAACACGUGUUUGUUGGUCCAGGUGCUCGCCAGUUCAUUCAUUUAGCUUUGUACCCUGUGCGAACUGUGCUCGCAAGCCCUCCCCGUGAGCCCCUUAACGACUCCACCUGGUGGGGUCCAAACUCGGGUCGUAGGUCGGUAGCUCGGGUUAUAUUCGAGUUUCAGGUUGGCAAUUGGAUAUCCCACAAUAGAUCUAAUUCGAAAAUUGAGCUUCAAAUUUAAAUGAUUUGAACCUAAAACAACCCGAAAUUGAAAUGGCUCGAACUUAAAACAAGUUAAACUCAAAAUGAUUCAAACCCAGAAUUAAUUUGAAAAAUCGAGAUAACUCAAUCUAGACUGAUUGGUCUAAAACUGAUCCAACCCACUCAAUUUAUAAGUGAAUUCGGUGUAAUGGUUUGAAAAAGAUUGUGAUGUUACCUGAAUGACCCGAACCCAAAAUAACUGGAAAUUAAAAUGGCUCGAACUUAAAAUUGUUCGAAUCUAAAAUUGAUUCAAACCCAAAAUUAACAUGAACUGAAAUAAUUUUAAAAUUUUAAAAUUCGAAUUAACCCGAUCUGAAUUUGCUUUGAUCUAAAACUAAUUCAACCCACUUAAAUUACAAGUGAAUUUAGUGUAAUAGUUUGAAACCAAAACAACUUUAAAUUAAAAUGAUUUGGACCUAAAAUAAUUCGAAUUCAAAGUAAUUUAAACUCAAAAUUAAUCUGAAAAUUGAUACGAUUUAAAUUAAUUUGAUCCAAAACUAACCCGACCCACCUAAUUGACAGAGUGUUUAGUGUAAUGGUUUGAAAAAGAUAGUAAUGUGCCACAACCCCACAACCCCACAACCAUUUGUUGAAUUAAGCUAAUGAUAGUAUCUUUCAUUGAAUGAGCCCUCAACUGCACAACGAACAGCUAAAUUAUGCUUUGUGUUUUCUCAUCUGCAUUUUAAAACCUACUUACUAACUUUCAUAAAUAAUUUUUUCUAUAUUUACACAAUUCUUUGCUGAAUUACAAAAAUGGUCCUUCAAUAUUCAACUUAAUUUGAAUUAUUUAAAUUGUGCAACAUAUGAAUUUCGAAUAAAUCAACCACACAAAUGCCAACCAAUUUAAUUAUUACUCAAAAAAACCACUUGCUUUCUAAGUUGUUCUUAGUCAUCACUAUCAUAAUUAAGCUCAUUUUGUGAGACAACCCUUUGACUAUUUUUCAUCUAAUAAAUAUGGGGUUCAUCCAUGUGGCCAUGAAUUUGCAAGUCCCCCCCCCCUCCCCGCCUUUGAUCCAAACUUGGGCCAAACCCUAAUCCUUGAAUUUUACUUUUAUUAUUGAAAGCACAUGGUGGAGGUGGACCCUUUCUUUGACCAUCAAAGAUAAUCUAGUAACUUUGCCAAAAGAGGUCUCUAGAAAUGAAACCAUUUGUUGUAGAUUGAAGGUAGAUAGGGUAACCUCAGAUAAUAUUAUAAUUCACCCUAAUGGAUUAAAGAAAAUCGUUCUUCUUGAAUUUGAUUUUCAAAGCAUACUCCGAAGUUUAAGUGAGAGUCGGAGAGAGAUAAGAAACAAACUAACUAGUGCCGGUACGUUUAAUAUCGUCUUAUUUUUUUGUGAACCGUCUCAUUUUACUCUAAAACAUAAUGUCAACUAAUAAGGAUGUGACACGUAGCACGUUUACAUUGGACGUCAUACACUUUUAGGGUAAAAUGAAAAGAAAUUGAUAGUUUAGAUAUCACUUUUGAUUAAAAAAAAUUAGGUACUUAACUGAGGAAAACGAUAUAAAUUGAGAGUCAAUUUUGUAAUUAAGCAAAAAGAAAAACAUCUUUCACAUAAAUUAAUGGCAAUGCUGGAUUUAGUUACACUUCUUUUUCACAAAUCGGUUUUCAAGUGAUGUGAUUACCAUGUGAUUAAAAGGAAAAACAAAAUCAAUCAUGGAUUUAAAUGUUGAAAAUGUAGUUAUAGGUCACAUACAAAAAUGUAGGGUCAAACAUUACUUAAAUAUUUUUCAAUUAAGGACAACAUUAUGCACCUUAAUAUUUGGUGAGAUGGAGUUUCCCUAUCAAGCUUGCUAAUUAGUAGGGUAAAGGUGUAUUCAUGUAAUCUUAUAUUUUAACAAAAGUUGUGAAUAUAGACCAAUAAAUCUAUUUAUAAAUUGAGUUGGGUCAAAUUUCGUAAUAAAAUCUUGAUGAAAGUUAUUACUUAUAGGUUUUCAUACCAAGGGCACAAUCAAAUUAAGCUCGUAGGGUCUACCAAUUUCGUUAUUAAGAUCUCAUUAAGAUACCUUUCUCCCUCCUUUCCCCUCCUUUCAUUUGUUUACUUUCUUUUGUUUAUUUAUUGGCUUUGUUUUGAUGUGAAACUGUUGAAUUUAGUAGAUAUAGAUACAGAUUCUUAUAUCGAAGGGUCUUUACCUAUUUUGUUUUGUUUGUUUAUCAUCUUUCGUCCCUAUCAGAGACCCAUAUUUAUUUUUAUUUGGUCCAAUCAGAAAACAUUUUAUCAUUUCUGUAUUCGCAAUUCAAUAUAGAUAGAUAUUCCAUAACAUAUCUAUGUCCCUCUUACUCUCAAUUUUCUCAGGCAAUUUGGUGGAAUACUCGAACGGUCGAUUUUUUUUUUCGUCUUAGCUUCUGUCUUUAUGAUCUGGAUUUCAUUUCUAUGGGUUGCAAUUUUUUUUCUUUAAUGUCAUUUUUAUUCUUAUAUAUAACCAUAACAGGAAUAGGAUAACUAAAAAAAAAUAAAAAUAAAAAUUGAAUUUAUUAUUAUUUCUUUAUUUCUUUAUAGUAUAAUAGCUAGAACUAAUUAUUUAUAUUUAAUAAAUACAACUAAUUAUCCAUUCAUUUCUAUUUCAAAUUCGAAAAUAAUUCAAAUUUUUUAGUUUAAAAAGAGUUCCCAUUCUAAUUAUCUAUACUUAUAACGUAUCAUUUCAUUUAUAUAAUGAUAAUAUAUAUAAAUACAUAAAAAUAUUUGGACUCUAAUUAUAUCUAUGCAGAACUCUAAGCUAAAUAAAAAUAAAUUUAAUCUAUAUUAAAUCUAUUAAAUUGAUCGAUUAAAUAAAUUCUAUAUAAUUUAGAAAAUAAGAAUAGAGUCAGUAAUAUUAGGAAUAAUUAAUAUAGAAUAUACUAAUAGAACCAAGAUAUCAUUUGUUUCUAAAUUUAAAUGGAAUUUGAGAUUUAAUAUUUGUAAUUAAAAUUUAAAAAAAAUUAAAUCAUCCCAUUUUUUACUAAAAAUAUUUGUAAUUCAAUAAUUGACGUGGACAAUAUUUUCUAUUUAAAUUUUAAAUUCAAAAAAUAUAUACUUGAUAGUAAAUAUUAAUAAUGUGAAUGAUUGAAGUGAGACUAGCCACAUAUUUUAAAAUUUAAGUUGAUAUUAAUAUUUAUACAUUUUAAAUAAUUAAUAAUAAUUGGACGGAGGAAGUCUAGUGACUAGUCUUUUGAGUUUUGACUUAUAGAUCUGCCCCUUAAGGGGGUUUUUAAUGUAUGACUAAUAUAAUGCCGAAAAGUUAGGUGAUAAGAAAAAAGAAUUUCUUUUAGCCCAACUUAUUGUCUAAUUCAAUACAAAUAAAUCAAUAUAUUUCAGAUAAAAAUAUUAAUAUAUUUGGAACUUAGAUAAGGCUUAGUGACAUGGAUAAAGCUAGAAAAUUGUUUCAAGAGGAAUUAGAGAUGAAUAGUAAAUUAUUAAAGGGUUAAGAUGUAAUUUUAUCAUUAUAAUAAUAUGUAAUUUUUAUAAAAAAAAAAAUUUGAAGGGAUUAAAUGACAAAGGCCUCUUCGUCCUGCUGGAACUUAAAUUCAGAUUAAUCUAAAAGAGAAUCUAGGCCAGACAUUUGUAUCAGAUGAUAUUCGAAUCUAAACCACCGACUUCAACCUGACCAACUAUGACACAUUAUUCGUACGUCUAUAAAUUGGAAUGGUAAUAAAGUUGAAAAUUAUGUGUUGUGAUUGGACCUAUCUUUGGGGUUGCUUUUUUUGCCUACGUGAGGGAAUCCUUAAUAGAGAAAGCUUCGGGCAGUAUUCGGGUAUAAGGUGGGGAUUGUUUUGGUACUUUUGCUUCGUAGGGUUCACGGUGGAUUUCAGAACAUGAUUUAAUUUGCCUGAUUUGAAUGAUUUUUCUAAAAUAAAAUAAUGACUUUUUGCUGUUUCGGUAUAAGUAUUUUUCUUUUUUUCUUUUUUCUUUUUCUUUUUUUUUUUUUGAGUUGAUUUAGAAUUAGAUGAAAUUGAUUUUGAAUUUAAAUCCAUUUCUAAUUUAAAUUUAAAAAGGUUCAAACUGUUUCGAAUUCAAUUUAAGACUUGCUUUUUCGGAUCAAUUCAAAUCCAUUUGAGUUCAAGUUCAAUAGGUUCUAAUUUGUUGAUUUUUUUUUAUCACUAAAUUGAUUGUGAAAUUUAGGUUCAAAUUCCAAAUUCGAUAAUUGAUCACUAGAAAUGUAAGUUAAAAAAUCAACAUGUUUAAACCUGAAAUCGAUUACAAAAGGAACAUAACAAGGGAAUUUAAUGUAUACUUCCCAAUAGCAGUGAAAACGUGACAGCGGCUGUGACCAAGGUUUCUAACACACCACCACCACACUGAUAAUACUUAAGUUUAACCCAGAAACCAAAAAUCCGAAAUCCGAUGAACAAAGAAACCGAGAAAAAAAAAAGAAGUAAAAUUAGUCCUGCCUCGUAUCACAGUUAGUUUCGCUUCUACAAGCCUCGAUUUAAGCAUCCUCAAGAAAAGAUGUAGUGAAAACCGAAAAAGUUCAAAUGCUACAACAGCAAAGGUAUAUAUGUCUAUUUUCCUGGCCUAAUUCUCAGAACUACCUGCGCCCUCACUUACAAUUUUUCCAAAUGCCUUGGCAAGAGUUACAAUAGCCCGAAUUUAGCGAUCACUUUUCUCAUCUACUUCUUCUUCUUUGAUUUGGAAGCCGACUGAGUGUAAGCAGUUCCCUGAAAAUUAUGACGACCAAAACCAGAAAUUGUCAGUAACACUCCUAUAUAGAUCAUUAUUUGAUGAAGUCCCAUGGUGAACUCAUGAAUAACCUCAAUCAUAUCCAUUGAAUAAACAGAUAACGAGCUCUUGGGGACAAGAGCAGUGAAAAGAAAAUCUAGCUAAAAUAGAAAGAAUGGGAAGUGAUGAUGAUGAUGAUGUGAUGCAUAAGCCAAGACAUAACCUGAAGCCAUUCAUCCAGUGAAGCAUCGGGAGCCCUGGUCCCAACUUCCACCUUUGGAGCCCUCUUAGUUUUCUAGCAAAAUAAAUAAGUCAAAACACAUUAGCUUUAUUCCACAAAAAGAAGCAUAAAACACAUAAAGUAACACUGCAAAUUGAAGCUUUCUUCAAUUUAAGAACAAAAUAUCACGGAUAUUUAACAUUUUCACAGCAAAACAGCUUGCUGAAAACUUGAAAUAGGUCAUGAAUGCUAGAAACCUAGAACAAUGUUGAUUUCCCUACAUGUAUGCAUGGAUGUGCUCUUUUAAUUUCUAUCAGCAAAAGCCUUGUUACAUCGAUCUUAUAAUAACUGGAUACUGCAGUGAAUUAAUAUAACAAUAGCAAGGUAGCACAACUACAAUACCUUGGUGAUACGCUGAAAUUGACCGUGAAGCCACAAACCAAGGAGAACAAGAAGUGCAAUCCCAAGGGUAACAAGGAAAACGGACUCAACACUGAGGAAACCACCAGCCUCAACAACUUCAAUGGUACCAUUAUAGAAUGUACUUUGGUAUGGUUGCUGAUCAAUAUCAUAGAUAAUCGAACCCACAAGAUCAAAAGUUCCAGGCUGCAGCAAAAUUCUGGAUGUGUAAGCUCUACCGCAACUGUACUUCUCACAGAGAAUUUAUAUACGGUACCAAGGCAUAAAUCUCACGGAGUAAUCAUUUACCUGUAAGUACUUGCUAACAGCAAAUACGUAAGGGAAAGUAGCUUGAACUGAAGGGGGUACAGUUGCAUUGUUGAAAGCCUACAUUAACACAGACAUAUUCAGUUCUAGAAUCUACAAGGAAACAUCACAAGGCAGCUUUCAUGCAACAACAUAAGCUGUAAAACUCCAAAAUUACAAGGAGCAUGACCAACUUUGUACCAACAGAGAGCCUUGAGAUCUUUUUCAAAUAAAGAAGCAAAGAUUUGAUAAUGAAGUAGGCAAAAAAAAAAAAAAAAAACAGCGCAGCAUUAUUAUUGCAAAACGACCAGUUAGAGCAUGAAUGCCUUACAUGCUCAAUUUCAUAUCUGAAAAUCAUUGUAAGGUCUACAAUUAAAAGUUAAAGAUACAGCAAAAUCUACACUAGUACCAAACCCUCUGCUAAAGUUUCUUAAACUGAGAUAUAUAACUUCUCAGUGCAAGUUCAACAUCCCUCCACCAUAUUAACAAGCACUGGUUAAAAUAAUUGACUCUACUAUAAGACUAUAACUGUUAUAGCCUAUUAGUGUAGGGAAGCAGUUACAAAUGAAACACAAACUAGUGUCGCAAUGCAUAAAACUCAUAUUAUUGACCAUAUGUUUGACAAUGGAUAUUUAAAACAUCCAAUAAGAUAUCAUAUCAACAUGAGAGCAUGCAUGUUUCAAUGCUCAUGGGGUUAAGCUGGCUUGUCAAGCCUCAAGUAAUGAAGGCUUAAAUAGAGAAUAACUCUUUAGUUAUUAUUAGGUAUCCUAUAGGCAAUGAUCUAGUAGUAUGAAGAUUGGGGCACCUAAUAACUGAAAUUAAAACCCUUUCUGUGCUAGCUUUGCUAGGUUAGAAAGAGAUAAUGUUUCUACUUGGUGGCAAACAACCACUGAAUUGUACUGGUCGCUGGCUUUGUACUGAUGACGGUAUUAUUAAUAAAUGACCAUACAACCGCACUCUUUUUCCACUCUUCAUUUAGAAUAGUGGUUUUUUAGUGGGGCACAUUUUUCAUUAAAAAAUCAAUGAAUGCUAAAUUGUAUUUUAUAAAACAAACUCACUGAAUGAUUAAUUUUAUUUAUCAAAACUAAAGGGCUAGAUACUAAAUUAUAAAAAGCUCUUCAGUUAGGAAAUAAUAGAAAUUAAUCAAAAUGAAAACUGAACUAACUAAUGUAUCAGGAGUAUUUGAAAAUGUUAAACCAGAACAAUAUCAAGAAACUCUAUGAUUACCACUGCUGUAAGAUUUUGAACAAGCAUACGGUGAUCAAAAGGGAGAUGAACACUGGCUUUGAUAGCAAUGACAUUCACAGGUGACUCCCCUGCAAUUUAAAGAAGUAAGCUAUGCAUAAGAGUGAAGGAAACCUCAAAUGGCUAACAGAAAAGACUAAGCAUUUAAGCAUAGUCAACUACGGAAAGAUAAACUGUGUGUUGCUAUCUCAACACAGUAAAAACAAACAUCAUUGUAAAAUAUAUAUCAGUAAGGUAGUGAAGGCAAAUUAUUACCAAUAUUUUCCAUCCCAACAAGGAGCUCAGUCUGUUCUCCAGCCAGAACCACUGUCCAAGAUUAGCCAAAAAGACAAUACACAUCACUCUCAAAAUCAUAAAACAUUGAAAUCAGAGAUGCGGCACCAAAAAGUUCUUACAUUUGGCGCUAUUUUUGGGGAAAACGCAAACAGUUUUAACUUCAGGAGCUGAACUGUAAUUAGGAUCACCAAAAUCCUGAACAUCCUCCCCAACAAUACCGAGAUCACCUCCUUCAACAGCUUCUGCAACAUCUGCCUCUGCUUCUGAUUGACACCUAGCAACUAUCACAGAAAAGAAAACUCAUGUGAAGCCAUAAUUUUAAAACAAAAUGAAAAUUUAUUUAGUAAUUUACCAAAAAAAAUAAAAAAGUAAACAAAAAUUAAUACAACAAACAGAUCCGACAUCCGGAAUAACUGCUUCAAUAAUGUUAUUGAAAAGGACACCAAACUCCAAAGUACUUGCCAAGGCCCUAGUACUCUUUCCUUUCAUUUUCCAAGAGCAAACCUAAACUGUAUUUCUAAAACAGCCACUAAAAUGCCAGUAAGAACAGAUAUCAAGAAGAUACCUAAGCUUCUUUCAAAAAAAUUCAAUCGAACUUUCAUAAUCACAGCCAUGCAACGCAACAAUGAAUUUAAACACAAAGAAAUCACUUCAAAAUCCCACUACCAAAUCAUAAAUCUAGAAAGAAAAAAAAAAACAAACCAAUCUCACAUGGAUGUUAAAAAAAAGCGAAAGAAAUGAUACUAAAGGAAAACAAAUCGAAUUGCUUCUCAUUUAACCAGAUCAAAGCAAUCGCAGUAAGCAACUAAGCAUGAAAUCCAAAAAGCAACAUAGAAACUCCACAAAAUGAAACGAAUCGGUAAGCAUAAAUACCUAAUUACAGAUCUUAAAUAUAAAAAAGCAAGUAAAAACAGAUCAAGAAAAAAAAAUUUACAAACCUUGAAGGAAAGGAGAUGCGAGGAAGAGGAGAGCAAAGA